rnacentral:lncRNA from 10 species
AGAAUCAUAAAUCCUUACUUCCCUUCUGCUUACACAGGGUAGACUGGGAAGACCCUGCCUAAGAAUCUGAUUUAACCUGUGGUGCAGAAAAGCACUAAUUUUGAUGUUGGGAGGAUUUUGUGCACCCAGCAAGGAGCAGAGCACUCUGCUGACUGCCGUAAUAUAGGUAACAGACCUUAUUUGGUGCAUGUGUCACUAGGCCGCCCAUGUGAUGAGAAAGAUAUGAUGCCAUAGAGAACUGAUCUACUCUAAAUAAUAAACAGGAAAUGGACCUGAAUAUCCUCUUAGCAGCCAUGACUGGAUGCCAAAUGGGACAAAGAAGAACUUUGAAUAUGACAUCACACUACCUCCUGCACUGUGGUUCCUGAUAAGAAAUCAGCCAUUCAUCUUACUGAGACUCCUUUAGGAUUGGUGCCCUCAUAAGAAGAGAAAGACACACCAAAGCACUUCCUUUGAUGUGAAGAUACAGUGAUAAGGUAGCACUUUCCAGCGCCAGGGUGUCUGCUGUGUUUCUGAUCCAGGGAGGCACCCGCUGCUGCUCCUGAUGGGCUAGAGGCUCGCCAUUGUUCCUGCUAGGCUAAGUGCCUGGGUUCGUCCUAAUCGAGCUCAACACUAGUUGCUGGGUUCCACGGCUCUCUUCCAUGACCCGCGGCUUCAAAUAGAGCUAGAACACUCACCGCAUGGCCGACGGUUCCAUUCCUUGGAAUCCAUGAGGCCAAGAACCCCAGGUCAGAGACCAAAGGCUUGCCGCCAUCUUGGGAGCAGCCUGCCACCAUCCUGGGAGCUCCAAGAACAAAGAUCCACCUGUAACAAUAAGAUUUAUUGUCCAGAAGAAGAAUGUCACAAGGUCGAUUGAUCAGGAUCUUACUGUUACCCAGGAUGAAGUACUGUGGCAUGAUCACAGCUCCCUGAAGCCUCAACCUCUCCAAGCUCAGGUGAUUUCUUCCACCUCAGCCUCCAAAGUAGCUGGGACUACAGGCAUGCGCCACUACACCCAGCUAAUUUUUUUGUGUGUUUUGGAGAGAUAGGGUUUCAUCAUGUUGCCCAGGCUGGUCUGAAACUCCUGGACUCAAGCAAUCUACCCACCUGGGCCUCCCAAAGUGCUAGGAUUACAGGCAUGAGCCACUACGCCCAGCAAGGUAUUUUCUGAAAAGGUGGAUUGCUGCUUCAAAGGACCUGGACCCAGAGGCCCUGUCCAUGAAUGUUUCUUGCUUGGUUCCGAGGCCACCAAACAUACUGGCUGAGCCUUCUGUAUUCACCCUGGCCUAUCAAUGCCAUCUAUGAGAGCAGCCACACUGAGAGAGCAGCAGCAUGGAGCCUACUCAAGGGAUCCCGGUAGAAGACACAAAACUUCCACGUCAGAGACAAAGGAUUUCAUUACUCAUGGCAAAAGCAGGAAUCAGAGCUUCACAUUUGCUGGUGUCAAUUUCUCAUACCCUCAAAUCCCAGAAGCAUGACACAAAAGAGUCCAUGAUGGAUGUCUGAAUACACAGUGGGCUGUGUUAGAAGAGAGUAACACUGAGCUCAGGUGAUCUCUGCUUCUGUAGUAAGCUUGCACUUUGUCUCGGGGGAGACAUUCCCUCAUCACUCAAGACUGUUCCCUGCAAACACAACCUUGAAUAAUGGCCCAGAAGAGUGGUGAGAGUUCUAAAUUCCUGGCACUUCCAGCAAGUAUGCUCAGGAACACCAGGGCCCAAAGUGGAUUGCCUCUUCCUAAAAAUAUGUUUAUGACUGAAGCCCUUUCCUUUAAAAUGUUAGGUGAAUAUGGAUCUUUUAUUUGCUGUCCUAUUUCAUUUUCAAUAAUUCUGAGUAUGACUCACCAAAAUGAUUUCACAAAAUAAUCUGUAGUAACCUUCAAUUUAAACAACAAACAAAUAAAAAAAAUUGCUAUGUUAAGUAUAUAUUUGAGAGUGUAAUUGCAGAAUUACAUUCUUCCUUAACAUACAAUGUGAAUGGUUUUAUAAAGUGAUUUGUCAGUUAUUUAUCAUUUGCUUUUCACAAGCGGUGUAUGAAUAUUCCCCUUGCCAUAUGUCUCCACCACCACUUGGUUUUGUCAGACAUUUAUUGUUUGAUAAUCAAAUACUGCAUAAUUAUAUCUGAUUUGGUUGUAAUUUGCAUUUUACUUAUUAUUAAUGAGGUUUAGCAUUGCCAUAUGUGUAUAAGUCAUUUGUUUUUCAUUGUCUGUUAAAUGUCUGCAUAUGACUUUGGCCCGUUUUAAAAUUGAGAUAUUUCUUUCUUUUAGAUUGAUACAUGAAUUAUUUACAUUUGUGAGUUAUGAAUAUUGUCAAUAACGUCUCACUGUAGAUCAAUUUUUCACUGAAUUUCUGGUAUCAUUUUAUAAAUUAAAUUUAUUUUAAUGUUUCAAGUAUUCUAUUUUAAACUGAUAUUUUAUGGUAUUUGUCAUGUAUAAGAACUCAUUCUAGAUCAUUAGUCAUAAAGAUAUUCAUCUAAAUUUUCUUCAAAACUGUUAAAUGUCUUUAACAUUUAAGUCCUAAAUACAUCUGAACUGGUCCAAUAAUCCAAAUGAAUCAAAUAUCUAAGAAAAACUGUAACAAAGGAAGAGACAAAUCUAUAGAGAGUACAUUAUAAAACAUUCUUGAGGGAGAAUCAAUAUGAACCUAAAUUAAUAGAAAACUAUUUAUGGAGGGAAAGACAGUAUGUAAAGAAGCAAAUUAUCUUCAAUUCAUCUGUAAAUUUACUGCAAUCUCAAUAAAAAGUCAAGUAGAAGCUUUUUUGUUGAAAUUGAUAAGCCAAUAAUAAAUUGUAAAUAUUCAAAGAUCUAAUGAUAGCUAAUGCAAUAUUGAAGAUAAACUGAAAUUUUGGAGAAUCAAGACUUAUUUGAGGAUUGCAGUAAUGAAGACAGUGAUUAAUUGUGCAAGAAUAGACAAACCAUCCAAGAAAACAAAAUAGAGAGCUGAAAAGCAGACCCAGGCUUAUAUUGAUCAGUGAUAUAGGUGGCAUAACAGGAGGGUGACAAAAAGACAGUUAUUUCCAUAAAUUGUACUUCAUCAAUUGUAUAUCUGAGAGAGAGAGAAAGAGAGAGAAAUUGUUUUUAUUCAUAGUAUAAUAUAUAAUUGCUUCUAUUCAUAGAGAGAAAGACAGAGAGAUAACUGUUUCUAUUCAUAGUAUAAGCAUCUUAAUUUCAGGUGGUUUUUAGAUUUUUAUGUGAAAGUUAAAAAUAGUAAAUCCUAAGAGAGGAUAAUAUAGAGGACGUUUUCACCACAUGGGGUAUAUAAAGAUUAAUAAAACUGGACACAAAGUCUCUGAUUAUAAAAAAAAUUGACAAAUAUUUUGACUGUAAGAGAUUAUAUUAAUAAAUACACAAUACAAUUUUAAGAGAAAUGAAAUGAGAAAUGAAAAGAGCAGCAGUAGAGUGGGAUGUCAAAGUACAUAUGACUGACAAAAAAUUACAAAAUCAAGACUAAAAUGGCAUACCACUAGAGCAGCUAUAAAUACAAAGAGUAAAAAUGCUCUUCUGUUUGGAGGACGUGAAGCAUGUUCUUGGGCACUGAUUACGUGAGUAGGUAGCUUUUCCUGAUUAUAUCCUCUGCAGAGUUUUCAUAGUGUAUCAUGUCUAGAUCACAACUGGAAAGAUCUAUGGCAAAUUCAUCAUCUGUCAAUGAGCGCAACCAAUAUUUGUUACAAUUUUACCAUGUUUAAUUGUGAAAGAGUUCUUAGAGCAUCAAAACACAUAUCCAGAAAUACUAUCCUCAAGUACCAGGCAAUAUUUAUUUUUUUUCAGUUACUUUUCUGCCCUAUAUUUAUCACUAAGCUCAUAUGAACUUUUAAUUUUUUAAAAAAACCUUUAGGUGUCUGUUUUACUCAUUCCAGAGAGAAGGAACUUAUUGGCACAUGACUGAUUUAUUAAAUACACUCAAUAAAAGUUGGCAUUUUUACAGUCAGCAAGCUCAAUAAAGUUCACAAAUAAAUCUUCUAUAGUUCUCAUAUUUACAUAUUUCUCAUAUUACUCUUUACCUAGGUAUCUAUCAACUUUGAAAGAUCCAAAAAUAGAACAUGAGGGCCAUAAUUGUCUGGAAAUGAGGAGAGGGUAUAUUUCUUUGUGAGAAUUUUUUGUGUAAAUGAGUAAGUUAAGAUGAUAUUAUAAAACCAAUUAUUAUAAAAUUCCUGAGGAUAUCCUCUAUAGCAUGUACUUUGGCAUUGAUUAUCUAUAUGAGUAGGUAGCUUUUCCUGAUUACAUCCUUUAUAAAGUUUUCAUAGCAUAUCAUAGCUAUGAAAAUAUUUUUCAGAAAAAGAUAAACCACACAGGAAUAAAUGAUAAAGUGAAUGAUAACUUUUCAGUUAAAAAAAGAACUAAAUGUACAAUGAAAUUUGGGACUAAAUAAAUGGCACUUCUGCACAAUUCAGAUCUUUUUCCCCCUUAUGCUGAGCCUACUUUGUUGUUUUGCAUAACCUACAACAUGUAGACAUCUCAGUUAGAGACCUCUAUCCCAUACCCUUUUUCCCCAAAAGUUCUUUCCUUUCAUCAGUGAUGGCUGAGUCGAUUCUUAGACUAGUUCCAAUGUAUUCCCUUGAUGUAAUCAUCAGAUCUGUCUCCCCUCAGCACCUUGUUUGGGGAUGCUUCUCAUUCUCUAUGCCUAGGUACAAUUUCAAAUCCAGAGUUGGAGCUGUCAUCUUCAUAAAUUCUCCUUAGAUUAUAGGAGUUCACAAAAUCUUGUCAUUUCUGUGUACUCUUCUCGGUCUUAAGAAAUGUUUCUCCUGGAAUAACCUGUGGUCACCCUCUGAUAGGUAUGUUCUGUUAUUAUGUUUUUGUGUAAAUUUUGUCAAGCUAAUGUAACUGUGAUUUUAUUUCACAUGAUCUAUAGGGCCUUACACAAACCUGAACCUAAUAAAGACAUGUGGGACAUAAUCUCAAAAUGAUAUCACUGAAACUCAUUUCCAACCCAAUUAAACUGUUCUCCUAGGGUUGGUUGACAGUCCAGAAUUAUUAGGCUUCUCAGUGGAGCCAGAACAAUCUGUCCAGUGAUACUUGAUCCGAUCAAGUGUUUUCAUGGGUGGUUUGGAAACCAUGUCUUGCUUUGCAGAUGUUAUUUAUCACAAAGUUGCCCCUAGCCCUUUAAUGUUGAGGAUUUGAUAUUAGUGGAGUUGUGGAAGUGAAAUUAUUAGGGUGUCCUUAAAGUCCUUUUCCAUAAAUGAAUGAUUUAUUGGAGCAAUGAAAGAAAGGAAUAAGUUUGCCUGCUCAAUAUAGCCCGUCAUUUUUGAUGAAUGUGACUCACCUUUCUGUAAGAAGUUCAAUUUAGCACUGGUACCAAUUCUUGAAUUUUAUAGAGAAGGAAAUUGUAAAAUGUCUUAGAAAUGUGGCCACGGAGAGAACAAACUGAGGUUGAAUGAUGCAAAAUCAGAACUACACUGAAUGCAACGUAAUGCCAAUGCUGUUCAAUGCCAAGAGACUUACAGGAUAAAAUUUGGCUUUUUCCUUUUGAAAUAAUAUUAGCUUGCUAUUGAGUAAAAUCAGGUAGCAACACUUCAUAACUCCAUUACCUACCUGUUUUGUAUUCAUUAAAGUGUGGCUUUCUUGGCCUGACUGUCAGUGGUAUGCUGAGAUGGCUUGCCACAGCUCCAGAGUGCAUUGUAUAUAUUUCUUCUUGACUUCACGUUAAGUGACAUUAUGUUGGUAGCUUGGAAUUGGUCAUGAUGAAGCUAUAUAUACCAGGAAAACUGGCACAUGCUGCAAAUGAAGGCUCCUGCUCUUCCAGAGAUCUAACUGUUAAGUAUUUAUCAGCAUACUACUAACCUGUGUUCAAAGGUUGAACUGCAGAAGCCUCU